rnacentral:rRNA from 1 species
UACGUAGGGUGCAAGCGUUAAUCGGAAUUACUGGGCGUAAAGCGUGCGCAGGCGGUUCGCCAAGUCAGGUGUGAAAUCCCCGGGCUUAACCUGGGAAUUGCGCUUGAAACUAGCGGGCUUGAGUGCGGCAGAGGGGGGUGGAAUUCCACGUGUAGCAGUGAAAUGCGUAGAGAUGUGGAGGAACACCGAUGGCGAAGGCAGCCCCCUGGGAUGAGACUGACGCUCAUGUACGAAAGCGUGGGGAGCAAACAGG